UGUGGAGGAGAAUAUAGUAAGAAAAUGACAAAAAAAAAAUGUUUGUACAAAGUCGGUCAGCUGAAUGAAAGGAGUUGUACUAGAGUUUUUGGACGGGGCAACUUUAUGGGACACACAUUAACCCUUGGUAACUUCUCUCCAGAUUACAAAGGCUUACACAACUGGAGAGUACGUAGUGGAGGCGUGAACGGGGAAGUCGUCACAAUUGCCUGCUGCAGUGGUGAAUGAUGGCCCCAAAACCAGUGUCAAGCAGUCCAAGGGUUAGGUAAUCAGGGUUGUCACAUUCAGAUGCAAAGAUUAAAGCUUUUUUGCACCUCUAAGGACACAAGUACUUAGAAAAGGAUUUUUUUACAAAUGUAGUUACUGUAUUGAGUCAUUUGCAAUACAUGCACUUGAUAUUUUCGGAUCUGAUAUUUCCCUAAACGAUGAACCCUGUUCAAGCAAAACAAGUUUUGGAAAAUUACAAUUAAGUAACAAAAGAAACCCAUCAUGAAUGAGUAAAAUCUUACUUACUUCUACAAAUUGCCUGUGGGGCUUCAAAUUCUGAAAUUGAUAAGCUUCUCCUGAUCUCUUAACCUCUUUGCCAUCUUGCUAGACAUACGCAAAAAUAGAAAAUUUAUCAAAAAGCAGCUAAAUCACAACCAGAUUUUAAAAAAAAAAACAGGAUAAAAAUAUCGAAUUGAAGGAAAAAUAACUUAAAACUAUUUUUAGGUAUGAGAAAAACGUCGAAUUCAUCACAGUAGGGAAUGAGAAUGGAAAGACAAAGAGGAUACAUAUGAAGUGGUGGGCUACGUGUGUGUUAGUCAUGGGUAUAACCAAAUGGCUGAAAAGCCAAAUAUACCCUUAACUUCUAAUUUAUUGACGUUAAGCAGGCAUGUUGAAACUGUCUCUUCUAAUAUAUCUAAAAAUAAAA
rnacentral:lncRNA from 1 species